GUUAAUUACCACAUACUUGUGUCUUGAACAAUACAAGCGUAUUCUGUAGUUCUGGAGGUCAGAGGUCCAAAAUGUGUCUCUGAGCUAAAAUCAGAAUGUUAAAAGGGCUGUGUUUGGAGUUCCCCUCAUGGCUCAGCAGAAACAAAUCUGACUAGCCAUGAGGAUGCACGUUGGAUCCCUGGCCUCGUUCAGUGGAUUAAGGAUCCUGCAUUGCUGUGGCUGUGGUAUAGUUCACAGUCGCGACUUGGAUCUGGCGUUGAUGUGGCUGUGACUGUGGUGAGCAUCUACAACUCUGAUUUGACCCUUAGCCUGGGAACCUCCAUAUACUGCAGGUGUGACCCUAAAAAGACAAAAAAAAAAGGGGCUGUUUUCCCUUCUGGAGGCUCUAGGAGACAGCUGCUAAAGUCUGCCCACUUUUCCAGCAACGGCAGGUUGAGUCAUUCUCACAUAUUGUAACUCCUGUCUCUGCUUUCCACUUCUGCUUUUGUAGACUCUUGUGAUUCCAUUGGGCCCACCUGGAUAAUCUGGAGUACUCUCCCUGCUUUAAGAUUAGCAGAAUAGCAACCUUAAUUCCAUCUGUACUCUUAAUUCCUCUUUACUAUUAACACUAUAUAGCCACAGGUUCAAAGGCUUAGGAUGUGGACCUCUUUGGGGGGCCGUUACUACACACUACACCAGGCAUAUAAACAAGGUGUUUACUUGUCUUAUGCAAAAAUAAGUCUAAGGGUGUCAGGCCAGGACUAGUAUGACAACUCGAUUAUACAAUCAGGUGUUCAAGCUCUUUCCAUCUUUCUGCUGUAUCAUCCCUAAAGUAUGGACCUUUGACACUGUGCUUAUUGCCUUGUGGUUGCUAGAUGGCUGCUGAAACUCCAGGCAUUUCUCCAAGCAUUUAUGCUCCAGGAGGUAAAAUGGUGGCAGUGUGCAGGGCAAAGGACCGAAAGAUAGACGGGAGCAUGUCUUAAGUCAGAUUCCCCAGAAGCAGAUUCAUUCACAUGUUAGUGAUUUACUAAGGAAAUAAUUCUAGGUGAAUUCAGUAAAUGAGUAGAGUAAGAGAAGCAGCACAGAGAAGACUCUAAAGCCAAGCAAGGGAGUGCUUGGGCCUGAACUCAAGGAGAACACAGCAUGAAUUAAGUCAGAGACCUCUCUGUCUCCAAGAGCAGACUUCUGCCCCAGUUGGUGGGGGCUGUGAACAUCUGAGCAGAGAGGCUCUAGCGAGCAACCCAAAGGUGGCUGUUGGAAGAAAGUAACAGGUGCCAGCUGUUAGGAUCAGAAUGCACAGAAAUGAGGGCAGGGCGCAAGGGGCAGAUAAAGGUUUUCUGAGGGCUCUGGACAAAGCACGACGCUAGCUGCAGUUUGUCUCUUUUUUCACAAGAAAAAAGGUAACCUCUAAUAUAAUUCUUCUGUGCAAACUUACUGCAUUGCCACCCUUGCUGCAAAGAUAUCUAAAGCAGGCUUUUUAGUUGGAUACAUUGCUACUUUAACAAAAUUGGAUCUAUGUUAGUGAAAAGGAGAGAAUAGACCUUUGACACUGUACUUAUUGCCUUGUGGUUACCAGAUUUUAUAUUGUAGAUAUUUUCUUUUGUAAUUUCUAUCACAAUUGCAAAAUUAAAAUGCCCCUCUUAAACAGACCUAAUAAUAUCAAUUUAUAUUUUAUCUAUAUUUUCCACUUUAUAAAAAUUUAGCUCAAUUUAAUCUGUAUCUUCUUUUGGAGAAUAAGUGUUACUACAAAUGAUCAUCCAUACGAACACACUUUUUUUAAUGGGCUGUGUAUUCCACUCCAUGAGUCUGUUUAUUCCUUCUUUGGUGCUGCAUUUUAAACAAUGAUACACUUUUUUUAUAAUACAUUUUAAUUGUAAUAGGCAAGUGCCCAUUCUUAUUUCUCUUCUUUUAAAUUAGUAGUUAUUUUAAUCAAAUUACUUUCAACAUCUGUUACUAUGAUUACAUAAGUUUUCUAACUGAUCAAUUCAUAUCUAUAUUUUUUGGCUACACCCAGAAAACACAGAAGUUCCUCGGCAGGGAUCAAACCUGCCAUAGCAGUGACAGCACUGGAUCUUUAACCACUGAGCCACCAGGGAACUCCCAAAUGUCUAAUAUUUUAUUAUCUUAAAAAUUAUCUGGCUCUCUAAAGAUUCCACUUGACUGGUCCUGUUGAACCUAGUAGAGGCUUCUCUCUGCAUGAAUCAAUCUGUGCUCCUAUGUAAGGGGUGAGGUGAGAGCAUGCUUCUAGAAAUCCACGGCUUCUAGUCUUUCUACGUCAUUGCUUCCAAACACCAGGGAUAGCUGUCCUUCCUGGGACACCAAACUAAAUUUUCUAAAGAAAAAAUAGAGGAAAACAAGUUGACCCAUUCAAUAGUAAUAGUAACAUAGUAUUUAAUUACUGUGUUAAUAUAUAUUUAAUAAAUAAUUUAGUAAAUUAAUAAUUUAAUAAAAACUUGGAUGCUUGAACAUACUGAACAUAAUAAACACUAAAUAAUUAUGACCUAUAAUUUUUGACUUAUUUUUUGGUUGUUAUUUCUUUAUUUUUCCGUAACGAAUGGGCAAUGGGAGACCUGAAUCUGCUCAUCCUUUAUUUAGUUGGUCUCAAGUUCACUCUUGCUUCUCAUAGAGUUAGAAUUGCUGACUCUGAGACUCCUCAGAGUUUUUGUUCUAGUGUUUAAAAUUUGUUCUAGUUCUUUUCGUGCAACCUGGUUCCUAACUGCAUGCCAGGGACUUCAUUAGGUGGUUACCCAAGGAAUCAGCUUCCCUUCAAAUACUGAAGCAAAGACUCACUAUGUUGUACUUAUUUAGAGGUGUGUCAGUUUUCAAGUUGACAUAGGUGAUCCUUAUUCAUGGAUUCUAUAUUUGUGAAUUCAUCCACUUGUUAAAUUUAUUUGUACCCACAAAAUCAGUAUUUGUGGUGUUUCCAUGCUCAUUCACAGACAUAGCAGAGUGGCAAAACUUUGAGUUGCCCAGUGCAUGAGUUUCCCAGCUGGUGGAACAACACAACUCUGCAUCCUUAUUUCUGCUAAGGAAGAGGGUUCCUUUGUGCUCAUUUUAGUGCCAUGGUUUUGCAUUUUUGUGUGUUUUUUGUUUUUUUUGCCUUUUUUGCCCUUUUAGAGGAACACCUGCGGCAUAUGGAACUCCCAGACUAGGGGUCCUUUGGGAGCUGUAGUUGCCGGUCUAUACCAGAGCCACAGCAACGCCAGAUCCGAGCCGCAUAUUCGACUUACACCACAGCUCACAGCAAUGCUGGAUCCUUAACCCACUGAGCAAGGCCAAGGAUCAAAUCUGCAACCUCAUGGUUCUUUUGGAUUCAUUUCUGCUGCACCAGGAUGGGAACUCUGCAUUUUUGUGCUUUUUGUUCUUGAUUGUGAUGUUUAAAAUGGCCUCCAAGCACAGUGUUGAAGUGCUGGCCAGUAUUAUUAUGUGCAAGAAGGCUGUAAUGUAACUUAUGGAGAAAAUAUGGGCAUUAGAUAAACCUUGUUCAGGCAUGAGUUGAAGUGCUAUUGCUAUGAGUUCAGUAUUUAUGAAUCAAUAAUAUAUAUUGAAUAAGAAACACACAGAAACAUACAGAAAACAAAGUUAUGUGUUGAUCAGUUGACAAGAAUGUGACUAGAAGCUCACAGGAACCUAACCCUACAUUUCUCCUGUGAGCAAUGGUUCAGUAUUCGUUAAUUCAUUGUUUGCAAUGACUUUGUAAAAUGUAACUACUGCAAAUAAUAAGAAUCAAGUGUACUUUCCUAAGGGAUAUUUGAGGAUUAUUUGGGCAACUUGUGAUUUUUAACCUCGAGUGUACCCAUGUCAUCUCUUACUCCUAAAAGAUGGGACUCCCAGCAUCUUAUUUGGGCACGACACAGGAAGCAUUUGGAUGCCUCUGACACCUACUGACUAUGCCUUCCUCUUGAGGUUGUUUAGACCCCGUUAUUUAAAAAUCUGGUGAAAGAUUUUUAUUAUUUACUUUAGUGUUAUUACUAUUAGUAUUAGUGCAUGUUCAGUGCAUCAUUGUUGAAAAACAAUAGUGGAGUUCCUCAUGGGUCAGCAGGUUAAGAAUCCAUCCUUGUCACUGCUGUGGCACAGGUUCAGUCCCUGGCCUGGGAACUUCCACAUGCCAUGGGUGCAGCCAAAAAAAAAACAAACAACACCCCCAACAAUGGUGGUUUUUUUGUAUUAAGAAGCACAAUACAGAUUUUAGGGAGAAAAAGAACAUUGUACUCUAAUUAAUGAUGUUGUACAUUCCUUAGUGACUUAGAAAUGCUUUUUCUCAGUGAUAAAAAUAGUUGCCAUUAAGUUUAACUGUGUUCCAAGCACCACACGAAGCACUUUGCAUGAAUUAUUUUAUUGUAUCUUCGCAGCAACUCUGCAAAGUAGAUCUUACUAUCUUUGUUUUACAAAUGAGCGUCUGCAGACAGGGAGAUGCAUUUGAAUCAAGUCUAUUUGACCUAAAGUCCAGGUCUUUCCAGGUCUUUCUGCUAAAGCAUUCACAAUAGGCACUAGUCAUUGUUAUUAACUGUCCUUCUUUGUGGGCAGUUCAUAAAACAUAUUAGGAGAACAUGAAUGGAGUUUACUCAUCUGAACUAAAUGUGUCACAUUAAUACCUUCUUCACUCAAGGGAAGACAAACAAAUGUAAGGAGCAUGAUACAUACUCACAUAUCCACAGAUUCAGCCUCUGCUUUGUUACUUUACCCAAGAAAGAGAAAUUUAAUAGUAAAUACAAACAGGAGUUCCUGUUGUGGCACAAUGGAAACGAAUCUGACUAGGAACCAUGAGGUUGCCAGUUUGAUCCCUAGCCUUGCUCAGUGGGUUAAGGAUCCGGCAUUGCUGUGAGCUGUGGUGUAGGCUGCAGCUGUGGCUCAGAUCUGGUGUGGCUGUAGCUGUGGUGUAGGCCGGCAGUUGUAGCUCUGAUUCGACCCCUAGCCUGGGAACUUCCUAUGCCUUGGGUGCGGCCCUAAAAA
rnacentral:lncRNA from 1 species